rnacentral:rRNA from 1 species
AAGAUUUUAAAAGUCGAACAGACUUAAAUUAUAAACUUUUGCAUUUAUACUCAAUCUUAAUCCAACAUCGAGGUCACAAUCUCUAAAUUUUAUAAGAACUAAAAUCUAAAAUUAUG